CAGGCGAGAGCUCGAACGUAGUGAAACGAAGAGAGAGCUCCACGCAUAAAAUAAGUGCCAACACAACUCAAUGUAAAAUGUUUGGUGUUAGAUUACUGGAUAGUGGCGGACGGGUGAGUAACGCGUGGAUAACCUACCCAUUAGAUCGGGACAACCCUUGGAAACGAGGGCUAAUACCGGAUAAGAUUAUUUCAUGGCAUCAUGAGAUAAGGAAAGAUGGCCUCUGAAAAUGCUAUCGUUAAUGGAUGGAUCCGCGUCUGAUUAGCUAGUUGGUGGGGUAAAGGCCUACCAAGGCGACGAUCAGUAGCCGGCCUGAGAGGGUGAACGGCCACACUGGGACUGAGACACGGCCCAGACUCCUACGGGAGGCAGCAGUGGGGAAUCUUCCGCAAUGGACGAAAGUCUGACGGAGCAACGCCGCGUGUACGACGAAGGCCUUCGGGUUGUAAAGUACUGUCUUCAGGGAAGAACGGCAGGUAUGAAAACAUUGUAUCUGCAUGACGGUACCUGAGGAGGAAGCCCCGGCUAACUACGUGCCAGCAGCCGCGGUAAUA
rnacentral:rRNA from 1 species